ACCAUGUCCAAACUUGAUGCAUAGUAGAAGCUCCAAAAUGCAAAUAGCUAGGGAAAGCCAACAGAAAGACCCCACCUUUUUAACAGGUUUCCUGCAAUCAUUCAGACAAUAUGUAUUGUACUCGCGAAUGGUUGGUAUCGCAAUUAACCACCAAAGGACAAGUCGGUAAACAAUCAAGGGGUUUCGGGGAGGAAUCCAAAGGCAGAACUUGAGAAAGAAUGUGUUAAGUUCAACAAUCAUGAAAACAAUACAUAGGCUCAGCACCUGGAUGAAUCUCCAAGGGCCAAGCAGAGGGUACCACUCAUCUUUGUCCCACUGUGCUGGUGUGAACUGGCCUAGCCAUACCUUACUGAUAAUAUUGGGUUGACGACUCAAACCAACCCAUUCAUAUGUCCUCCCAUCAAAGUAUCUCACAGUCUUCAUUCCAGCCCAAAUACCUAAACCAAAUAAGGAUUAAUAUGUCUAGUACGAUGCUAUCCCACCAACACUCAUUAAAGUUUGGCAGCAUAUGGCGAAAGGUGAGCUGCAGGACAUCUCAAAGCCAAUUGAUAAUACCCAUAAAAGUGGUUGGUUUCUUAUCAUUAUAGCCUUCCCCCACCAUCCAAGGAUAUGGGCAAUAACAAACUCAUCAAAAAGGAUCUCAUAAACAUUGUUAAACCUGCUUUUCGGAUGAUCAGGUACAUAUAUGCGGCAGUCGGUUCCAUAAGAUCUUUCAGGUAAUUCUGCUCAAAGAUCAGGGUGAAGAUACUUCAUAAAUUGCCUAGCAUCAUCACGGGUCUGCAAGAUUAACAAAAAAGUUAGAGCAACAAGGUAAACAACUGCCAUCCCGUGGACCAGCCGCCAAAUGGCAGGAUGUGGUCUAAUAAGUACACUGAAUCAUAGUGCCUGAAGAAAUGAAUAAGCCAAAAAAACAGCAAUCAUUGCAAAGACACCCCUUUUAACAGAUGAAACGCGGUCAACAGAGAAGCUUCUUUCUGGAUCAAGAGCACCACUUGCCCAACUGAUAAAGAAUCAUGUUCCCAUCAGUAGCAAUGAAACUGUGCGCGGUUUGUAUGCCCAUGCUGUCCAUGGAUCGAUAUCGCCAAAAUUGUUUACUGAUUGUACACCAUUGCACUCUCGGCCAUUAUAUUCUCUUCUUGGUUUGUGAUGACCAUUGACCUCCAUGGUGAUAAUUCUUAGCAGCUUAUUAUCUGUAAAAUUUCCACAAUUUUGUAUUAGAGUACAAAUUCUUACUGGCCUUCAAGAAGAUUAAAACAAGUACAAUGCAGUCCAACUCUUACUAAAGAUACACUUGCAUUCAGUGAGACAAAUAACUAACAACUGAAUAAUGUACUACUUAGGCCACGAAAGUACCUACAAGUGGACAACAUGAAAUGGUCCAACACAUCUGAAA
rnacentral:sRNA from 1 species